UACGAAGGGGGCUAGCGUUGCUCGGAAUCACUGGGCGUAAAGGGUGCGUAGGCGGGUCUUUAAGUCAGGGGUGAAAUCCUGGAGCUCAACUCCAGAACUGCCUUUGAUACUGAAGAUCUUGAGUUCGGGAGAGUGAGUGGAACUGCGAGUGUAGAGGUGAAAUUCGUAGAUAUUCGCAAGAACACCCGUGGCGAAGGCGGCUCUCUGGGACGGUACUGACGCUGAGACGCGAAAGCGUGGGGGGAGCGAACAGG
rnacentral:rRNA from 1 species